ACGCUGGCGGCGUGCCUAACACAUGCAAGUCGAACGGACGAGGGGAGCUUGCUCCCUGAGUUAGUGGCGAACGGGUGAGUAACGCGUGAGCAACCUGCCUUUCAGAGGGGGACAACGGUUGGAAACGACCGCUAAUACCGCAUGAAGCAAUCGGACCGCAUGAUCUGAUUGCCAAAGAUUUUAUCGCUGAAAGAUGGGCUCGCGUCUGAUUAGAUAGUUGGUGGGUAACGGCUCACCAAGUCGACGAUCAGUAGCCGGACUGAGAGGUUGAACGGCCACAUUGGGACUGAGAUACGGCCCAGACUCCUACGGGAGGCAGCAGUGGGGAAUAUUGGGCCAAUGGGGGAAACCCUGACCCAGCAACGCCGCGUGAAGGAAGAAGGUUUUCGGAUUGUAAACUCCUGUUUCGAGGGACGAUAAUGACGGUACCUCGGGAGGAAGCUCCGGCUAACUACGUGCCAGCCGCCGC
rnacentral:rRNA from 1 species